rnacentral:misc_RNA from 1 species
UGAAAACCAUUUUUCUGGUGAGAUUCCUGUUGAAUUUGGUGAUUUCAAGUUUACAGAACUGUCAUUGUACAGAAACAUGUUUUCUGGUUCUCUUCCUCAAAAUAUAGGAUCAUGGGCAGAACUUCAGUACAUUGAUGUUUCUGAGAAUAUGUUUACUGGUUCGAUACCGCCUGAUAUGUGCAAGAAAGGGAGUAUGACUGAUCUUUUGCUUCUCCAGAACAACUUCACUGGUGGGAUACCUUCGAACUAUGCUAAUUGUUUGUCGUUGCAGCGUUUAAGGGUUAGCAACAAUUCACUUUCAGGAGUAGUCCCUAGUGGAAUUUGGAGUUUGCCAGAUUUGGAAAUCAUUGAUCUCACAUUGAAUCUAUUUGAAGGCCCAGUGACAUCAAAUAUCGGUGAGGCAAAGUCUUUAGCACAGUUGUUUCUAGCCUACAACCAGUUCAAUGGUCAAUUACCACAGACAAUAUCAGAAGUUUCUUCAUUAGUAGCCAUUAAUCUGAGCGCGAAUCAGUUCUCUGGUGAUAUUCCAG